rnacentral:rRNA from 1 species
AGAGUUUGAUCCUGGCUCAGAACGAACGCUGGCGGCGCGUUUUAAGCAUGCAAGUCGAACGGGAUCCAGGUGCUUGCACCUGGUGAGAGUGGCGAACGGGUGAGUAACACGUAGGUAAUCUACCCCCUGGUCUGGGAUAGCAUAUGGAAACAUGUGGUAAUACUGGAUGAGGCCUUUGGAAUCAAUUUUUUGAAGGAGAAAGGCGCUUUGGUGCUGCCUGGGGAUGAGCCUGCGGCUCAUUAGUUAGUAGGUGGGGUAACGGCCUACCUAGACGAUGAUGAGUAGCCGGCCUGAGAGGGUGACCGGCCACACUGGGACUGAGACACGGCCCAGACUCCUACGGGAGGCAGCAGCUAAGAAUCUUCCGCAAUGGGCGAAAGCCUGACGGAGCGACGCCGCGUGAAUGAAGAAGGCCGUGAGGUUGUAAAGUUCUUUUCUCUGGGAGGAAUAAGGUUCGGAGUGACUGCCGGACCGAUGACGUUAACAGAGGAAUAAGCCCCGGCUAAUUACGUGCCAGCAGCCGCGGUAACACGUAAGGGGCAAGCGUUGUUCGGAAUUAUUGGGCGUAAAGGGCGCGUAGGCGGUAGCGCAAGUCUGGUGUAAAAUACCCCGGCUCAACUGGGGAACUGCGCUGGAAACUGUGCUACUUGAGUAUAGGAGGGGGAAUUGGAAUUCCUGGUGUAGGGGUGAAAUCUGUAGAUAUCAGGAAGAACACCUGUGGCGAAGGCGAAUUCCUGGCCAUAUACUGACGCUGAGGCGCGAAAGCGUGGGGAGCGAACAGGAUUAGAUACCCUGGUAGUCCACGCUGUAAACGAUGUGCACUAGGUGUUGGUGAGUGAAUCAUCAGUGCCGAAGCAAACGUGGUAAGUGCACCGCCUGGGGAGUAUGCUCGCAAGGGUGAAACUCAAAGGAAUUGACGGGGGCCCGCACAAGCGGUGGAGCAUGUGGUUUAAUUCGACGAUACGCGAGAAACCUUACCAGGGCUUGACAUAUACGUGACGACUGUAGAGAUAUGGUUUCCCUUCGGGGCGCGUAUACAGGUGCUGCAUGGCUGUCGUCAGCUCGUGCUGUGAAGUGUUGGGUUAAGUCCCGCAACGAGCGCAACCCCUGCUGUCAGUUGCCAGCAUUAAGUUGGGGACUCUGACGGUACUGCCGGUGACAAACCGGAGGAAGGUGGGGACGACGUCAAGUCAUCAUGGCCCUUAUGUCCUGGGCUACACACGUGCUACAAUGGUUGGUACAGAGCGACGCGAGACCGCGAGGUGGAGCAAAUCGCAGAAAGCCAAUCUCAGUACAGAUUGAAGUCUGAAACUCGACUUCAUGAAGGUGGAAUCGCUAGUAAUCGCGCAUCAGCAUGGCGCGGUGAAUACGUUCCCGGGCCUUGUACACACCGCCCGUCACACCAUCCGAGUUGGGGGUACCCGAAGUCGCUAGUCUAACCUGCAAAGGAGGACGGUGCCGAAGGUAUGCCUGGUAAGGAGGGUGAAGUCGUAACAAGGUA